rnacentral:lncRNA from 1 species
UGCAGCGACUCUUCACAGCUUUGCGCACACUUCACACUUCAGCUUCACCUCUUCAUGGAACUGGUUUGAAGUCUCCCCCUCUCAACUGACUUCUCAGCCAUCUUAGAGAAGCUAGGACACGACCAGAUCAUCUUCAAAACACCAGUGAGCCUUAUCAACACUUCACACACGGCUUGCCCUCCUCAUAGACCUGGUUUGGAUCUCCCCCUCUCAGCAGACUUCUCAGCCACCUUAGAGAAGCUAGGAAAUGACCAGGAACACCUUUAGUGAGGCUCAAGCAAUGGUACCUGAUACAUUAUCCCAAAGGUGCAUCAGUACCUAUCAAAAACAAGACAAUGAAUAUCCUGCAUCACACUUGAUACACACAAUCCCAUAAUUCAAUCAUGAUCAUCUUAAGUAUCUUUUCAAGGAGAAGCUAAUGAAUAAGAUGAAUGAAAAAGAUUGAAGAAAGAGUUUAAGUUUAAGGGAACUUCCCUUGUGUUUUUGUGAGUUUCCUAACUCGGCCAAUGCACUAUCUUCAUGGCAUCAUCAACUUCUUGGAAAGGCAGAAUGGAUUCAUUAGCUUCUCUCCUCAAUCACCUCUCAUUGAAGCCGCAUUGAUGGAGAGCCUUCUUCCUCACUCGCCAAGACCGCUCUGAACAGCCUCUUACCUAGACACGCCACUGACUUGGUCCGGUUGAUGAUCCUUUGUAGAAGCCUUUGCAAAGACUUGUUACUGACCAUGGAUCAUAUGCAUUAAGACUCCCCCUCAAGCUUAGAACCGAGACUUAUAAGGAGCUAAGCUUGUGAUGAUCCUAUGCAUCUCCAUGGUCUAAUAACUAUCAUCUUUCAUGAUAGCUUUCUUCUUGUGAGUUUACUCUCUUCCUUAACCAGGAACUAGGGUGUUUGAAUCACCAUAGAGAGUCUCACAAGACACACCUCUCAUUGCAUAAUGACCCAUGCUACACUUCCUGUAGACUAAGGACUAGAUAUGUCCAAUGGUAUUAUGCAAUGGCUAUCUCUCAUUGCAUACUCAAUCACACUACACUUCCUGUAGAUUAUGGACUAACAUGUCCUAGUGAUGAUAUGCAAUGGCACAAGACCUUUGUCUUUACAUUCUUGGUUGUUGGCGAGUUACAUGUAUCACCUUCCUUGUGUACCUAACACCACCACAACUCAAUGCAAGAUCAGAUCAUCCCAUUGGGAUCAAACCAAGAUCAUCCAUCCUGUAUGAUCACCAAUGCCACAAUAAUAUAUGAUACUUGAAACAAGCUAGACAAUCAAGACAAGAAUAUGCAAAGACAAUGUAUGCUUUCAACAAUACACUGAUCCCUUUAGGUUCAAUUCAGUUUUUUUUUUUUAAAUGCAACAAUAGAUGAAUGCAUUAGAUUAUACACUAACCAUAUGAAUGAACCAGAUUCAAUUCAAAUGAACACAAGACUAGAUGAUACUUAUGCAGUCAAGGCAAUAAGUGUGACUCAAUUCAUGCUUAUGCUCACUAGUUUUAUCACAGCCAAUGAUUCAAGUAGCUUAGACAUACUUCUAAAUGCUUAUAAGACAUCACUGAUGGAUUUAACUAUGGCAUAGCAACACUCAGAACUAGACUGAGUCAAGACAAGUAGAUUUCAAUCUCUAACAAUGACAAUGCAAGUUCUAGACACUACAUUGACAUCCUAGGUUAUUAUGAUUAUUAAGUUCUCUAAAUGCAAUGCAAGCUUACAUCAGUACAUUUGAAAUUUAGGCUCAUUUUUAAAUGCAUUACUACAUGAAUGCACAAUCUUAAAUCAUUAGCUAUAUGAAUGAAACAGGUUCAAUCCAUGAUUAAUAUUAAAGCUAUGCACAACAGUUUUCAAUCAGAACCAAUGAUGCAAGCAACUUAGACAAUUUCUAAUUGAUUCAAGACUUUCAUUGAUGGAUUAAACAUAGGCAAUAGCAUCAGAUAACACUAGGAUUGAACUUAGACAGUAUGAGAUAUGCUUAUGUAUGCAAAAUAACUUAUCAAUCAUGAUGCAAGUAGCAGAGACAUUCUACUCAAUUCUACAACACAUUCAUGAUGAUUCAAGUUUAUGACCACACCCAAGACAAUGCAAUAAACAGACCGUGAUAUUCUGGGACUCUAGACAUUACUUACUAUCAAUAAGACAAUGCAGCAGCAAAACAAUUUCAGUGCAAUUAGCCUAGACAUUCUACUAGAAGCUAUAAACUCUUAAUGGAAUUAGGGAAAGCACAUAGUAUAAUCAGGAGAUAAACCUAUCAAGACAUAUUAAGAUAGAUGAGAUUAGGUUUACUCCCUUGGUUAAGAUGAUAAGGAGUGGUUCUCAAAGUUACCACUUGAAUCCUUACUUCUUCUUCUUCUCUUAUUGCAAUCACCCUUCUGAAUUCACCACCAUGAUGGAAUGCUUGUGGAUGCUUCAGCUACUUCUUCAAUCACCUCACAAUAGAAGCCGCCUUGAUAGAGUAGCCUUCUUCUUCACACAGCCAAGAGUGCUCUGUCUUAGUUUGAGCACCCUCUUGAAUAGGCACGCCACUGCCUAGACCCGGUUGGCUUCUUCUUCUGGUACUUGCAAUGUUAAGAAGAAGAACACCAGUGAGUUUUACAACCAUCUGUGCUUCUCCCUUCUUGUAACACCUCUCCAUUGUACACACAAUGGGCAUCAUUCUUUCUCUUUCAACUCGGAUUUGAUGAUGAACUAGGAACACCUUUUGUGAACCUGAAACAUCACUCAAACUCUAGCAAAGAUAAGACACAAUUGCAUUGGGAUCAAUCCUUGACUUCAUCAAGUUUGAUCACCAAUGUCUCAAGCUUUAUAGCAUUAGAUAGAAUCAAGACAAUGUCAAGUUCUUAUCUAUGCAAGCAACCAUUCUCUAAAUACUAAGCAAGACCUUAUCAGAUUCAAGUCAAAGUAUUUAGGCAAUUUCAACCAUUCCGUAAUAUGCAACUUAGACUUUAAUCUAAAUGCAACAAUAAACAGGGGCAGUAUGCAUUAAUCUUACUCAGUUUCUAACUCAUGAAGGCAAGCAUGAUUAGAUAAUACAAUCUAUCAUCUUAACAAGACAUGUUUAUUUAGAACUGACAUUAAGCAUUUAACCAUUUUCAAUAGUACUGAUGUCAAAUCUUGAUUAACAACUUAUCAAGUUUGAUUCCUACUAUCACAAGCAAUGCAACAGAUAGACACAAGGCAUUACCAAGUUCUAUUCUUUGCAAGCUAACUCUCUAAGUACAAGCAGGAUCCUAACAGAUUCAAGACAAGUUACUUAGGCACUCUUAAGAGCUUCUUUACUCAGCACUUAGACAUGAAUCUAAUGCUUCAAUGUCAGACAGCCAUUUGACAGUAUGCACUGACCUUAACCAGUUUCAAUUUAUGAAUGCAACAAUAUAAUCCAUCACACAUUCAUUUAUAACUUAGGCUAAGCAUUUCUAUCAUCACUUAACAUCAGACAAUGCAUUAUUUUCAAUCUGUUUUCAGUUCAUGAGCUUCAAACAAUACCAUUUCACAUUUAGCAAACUCAUUACUUAACAGGAGCAAGCAUUUUACUCUUUAAACACUAAACAAGCCUUUAAAGCAUCCUGGGACAGAUUCAACUAAUUUUUAUUUAGCAAUCACACAUUAUCCUCAGGUUUUUCAAUCAAUACACAUCACAAUAACCAGGCACAGUCACAAGUUCAUUUUUAAGAGAGAUAGGAUUAGCUUACAAACAAGGAACUAGCGCUAGUUCCUUGAGCCUCCUUUGCAACCGGUCAUGCUCUUUUAAUGGAUUGGAGAUGUUGAAUCUUCACCCAACAGCCCCUCCUGGUGUUCAUGAUCGCUACUUGAACUUUCACCUCCAAAGGUUCCUCCUUUCUUCAUCUCUUGAACUCGCCAGCUUCUGGAACUAGGGAAAGAACUCUUCUUCAAAGGUUUCCUCUUGGACAGAAGGAAUGGCUCGCCUUGUAUGGACUGGAACAGGAAGGAACCGCCAUGAUAAACCUCCAUAAUAGCUUCAGACAUCUUCUUCUUGAAGUGAGAGAGCUGGCUGGACAGAUCUUCAUGGUUUGGCUUCAUGGUGAGACAGACUUGUGACUUGAAUGCGGAAGCUACAGCUCAGGUUCUGAUGAACCUGGCUCUGAUACCCUUGAAUGCGGAAGCUACAGCUCAGGUUCUGAUGAACCUGGCUCUGAUACCAUGAGAUUUUAUAAGGAUUCACUCAAGGUGUGUGUGUGAGAAAGUGUUUAGGAGAGUUUAUGUGAACAGAUUUGAGACUUAGGAGUAUGGGAGAGAUUUAGAGUAUGAAGGAGACUAGGUAACAAGAUUAAAGAGACUGAGAGACUUAGAGAAUAGAUUAGAGACUUAGUAUCAAGAACAUACUUUCAUAGAACAUGAAGGAGAAGGGUUUCCCCCCUUACUCUCUUGCUUAAUCAAAUCGCAUACAAGAGGCUUUUAUAAGCCUUUAUAUGUCACAAAGACUUAACCUAAAUCCUAAGGACAAGAAUACAAGAUAGAUUGAAUGGCUAGGAUGAGAGAAGAGUGGUCUUUGAUGUUCUGGUGAUAGCUGGCGACUUUUGACUGAAUGGAGAGCUCAGAUUGCUUCAUUUGAAUGAAGGGAAGAGAUUGGUCUUGCUGUAAAGGUAAAGCACCUUUACCUUUCCAGCUUGCACAUACAGCUCACUCUUAUCCCUUUGGUAUAUUCUCCUUGCCUCUCACACUCCAACGGUCACUAUAGGAACCUUAACCCGCGCCCACACAUUGCACAACUCUGAGCAAGGCUGAUCCGGGUGAUGGCCAAACCGGAUUGGAUGUACGGUCUCUUGUACGGCCUUGAGGUCCGUACACUCGCCCUAUAUCUGCACCUUCAUCCAAACAUCUUCUAUGAUUGACCCAUACACCUUCUUGGAUCGCCCUAGGCCGUACCAUGGCCGUACUGGCCCUAUCUUUGCACCAUACUUCCAUCUUCUCUCUAACUCCUCCAAAGCCUUCACAUGAUCAGUCUAAGUCUUUCCUUGACUUAACUUCACAUAACUACUUCAGAACAUCUCUGAAGCUUGAUUGAACUCUUCUUGACAUCUUCUAGAGCUUGCCCUAUUAUUUGUACAAGCUCCAUCUUCUCUUCAGUUCAACACUCCCCCUCAAGCUUGACUUUAGGAGAUCCUAAGCCAAGCUUGGAACUCUGAAGAGUCUCUCUCAUUAAAAACCUUACAAGGAAAACCCAUUGGGACAAAACCUUGCAAGGUAAAAAGAGUAGAGCUCUCCAAAGCCUAGGGAUUGGCCAGUGAGCUCUUGUGCCUUAGAACCAAUGUGGUUGGACACAAGAAGCUCUGGAUCACGGCCUAACAGGUGCAGCGACUCUUCACAGCUUUGCGCACACUUCACACUUCAGCUUCACCUCUUCAUGGAACUGGUUUGAAGUCUCCCCCUCUCAACUGACUUCUCAGCCAUCUUAGAGAAGCUAGGACACGACCAGAUCAUCUUCAAAACACCAGUGAGCCUUAUCAACACUUCACACACGGCUUGCCCUCCUCAUAGACCUGGUUUGGAUCUCCCCCUCUCAGCAGACUUCUCAGCCACCUUAGAGAAGCUAGGAAAUGACCAGGAACACCUUUAGUGAGGCUCAAGCAAUGGUACCUGAUACAUUAUCCCAAAGGUGCAUCAGUACCUAUCAAAAACAAGACAAUGAAUAUCCUGCAUCACACUUGAUACACACAAUCCCAU